rnacentral:lncRNA from 14 species
CCCCCCCCUUUGGUGGGGACAGCUGUGGCAUGCAUGCUGUUUACCAGCUCCUCAGUAUGGAAAAACAAAGCUCUCAUUCCUGGGCUAUGGAAAACUGCUGCCAAUGAAUCCACGCCCUCUCUCUGGGGAGGAAAACAUAAUAAACACUAAUGCCUCUUUACCCUUUUAUGCCUUGUGUAUUAAUCACCUGACAAGGGCUCAUGGCUUUUCCCCUGUUCCAUUUUGCAUUUGCCCUGUAACUACUGGGAGGAGUCCUGCUUUGUCUAUAAAAAACUGCACUUUGCCAAACACUGUAACAGAACUGAAUUUAGCCAUUCACUCACCCAUCGGCUGCGGAGAGAAAGGACUGAGUACAGCCAUGUUUGGGAUUGGGAAGAAGCUUGCUGAAGAGGCUGUGCAACAAGCUGAAAGCGCUGCACAGGUGACAGUUAACGCUGUGGGCCAGACUGUGCAGCAAGCAGUGGAACAGGCGAAGGAUGCUGGUCAGAAAGCUCUUGAUGAAGUCUACAAAGUUGCUGAAACCAGUGAAAAAGCUGUUAAAAACGUAGCGAAUCAAGCAACUUCGUGGGGCAAAAGCUUUGGGCAAUGAAGAUUAAAGUGUAACACUACUGACAUUUUUGUAAACAAGUUUCUACUACAUGUACUCUUAAUAAAAAUACUUCCACUCUACCUGGAUCA